rnacentral:tRNA from 2 species
UGUGGUGUAGCUCAGUGGUACAGCACUUGCCUAGUAUGCAUGAGACUCUGGGUUCACUCCUAGCACUACUA